AGUGAACGCUGGCGGUAGGCCUAACACAUGCAAGUCGAACGGCAGCACAGUAAGAGCUUGCUCUUACGGGUGGCGAGUGGCGGACGGGUGAGGAAUACAUCGGAAUCUACUUUUUCGUGGGGGAUAACGUAGGGAAACUUACGCUAAUACCGCAUACGACCUACGGGUGAAAGCAGGGGAUCUUCGGACCUUGCGCGAUUGAAUGAGCCGAUGUCGGAUUAGCUAGUUGGCGGGGUAAAGGCCCAACAAGGCGACGAUCCGUAGCUUGUCUGAGAGGAUGAUCGACCACACUGGAACUGAGACACGGUCCAGACUCCUACGGGAGGCAGCAGUGGGGAAUAUUGGACAAUAGGCGCAAGCCUGAUCCAGCCAUCCCGCUUGGGUGAAGAAGGCCUUCGGGUUGUAAAGCCCUUUUGUUGGGAAAGAAAAGCAGCAGGUUAAUACCCCGCUGUUCUGACGGUACCCAAAGAAUAAGCACCGGCUAACUUCGUG
rnacentral:rRNA from 1 species